CUCAAACUCCUGGACUCAAGCAAUCCUCCCGUCUCCACCUCCCAAAAUGCUGGGAUGACGGGGGUGAGCUUCCGCGCCCAGCCCACAUACUGUUUAACAGCUGUGACGCAAGAGCUCAAGAAGGGAACUGGCUCCCAUUUGCACGGCAGAAGGAGCCAUGGUGGGACUCUGACACGGAGCUGGCCUUGGGCUGCAGGGCCUUGAGCUGCACAGCAUCUUAAAGGGGCCAACCCUUUAAGGUCUCUGCUCCUGGAUCUGCCAAGUAAGGCCUGAUUCUGGGCCAGAUGCCAGAGGGCCCUUCCCGUUGGCAUCUCUGCAAAGCCUCACGUGUUGUCUGAUGGCUACAUGGUGCUGGGAGAGCCCUGGAGGCCUGGAGCAGGACCAAGGAAUAGUCAAGUGGACAAAGGCCUUUCUGAGGAGGAAGCAGGUGACAGGAGGGAGCCCUGAGUGGCAGGACCAGCCCUGGGGAGGACACUGUCCUUCACAGCUCAGAGAUCACUUGCUCUGAGGGAAGCCAGCUGCCAUGCUGUGAGGACACUCAAGCAGUCCUGUGGAGAGUCCCUCAAAGUGAGGAACUGAGGCCUCCAGCCAACAGCCGUGUGAUUGAGUCCGUGUGGAAGCAGGUCCCUCAACCCCAGUCAACCCGUCAGAUAGAUAAUAGCAGCCCUGGCCAACAUCUUGACUGCAACCUCAUUAAAGACUCCAAGCCAGGC